rnacentral:sRNA from 1 species
AUAUAUAAGUAUUAGAGUGGUGCAGUAUUCUAGUCAAUCAAUCCUCAUUUGAAGGCGGGGCUAAAAAUCCGCCAAAGGGCACAUCGAUGAAGUUCCUGGUGGCGGCUGCUGACGCCCAGUCGGGGGUCGUUACUGGGAGUUAAGGUUGUGGGGCGAUCCACAAUGGCAUGUGGGCGUUGACCCUACUUCCGCGGAGGCCCAAGUGCGUGGUUGUGAAUGAUCGGUUCACGAGCAUGGCUUGGGGUAUGAACCUAUGUUGCGAGCCAUUUAGAUUUAACAGCUUGUGUAUAGCGUAGCCUGCCUUGAGUGAUAGUAGAGGGGAUAUAUAGAAACCUUGCUUUUCUAGGCCAAGAAAACAAGUCAUAGUGCUAUAUGAAAUCUAUGUUGCAAAAGAGGCUAGGAUGAGGUAAUUGGUUGUCGAGGAAAACUCCUAGACUGUCCGAAAGAAGCUUCUUGGGGAUUAGAGUGCGGACUAAGUGGCAAUCUAGUAUGACGAUCGGCGACGACGCCAAUAGGGGAAUAAAGGGAAACCGCCAUGUUGGCAACGAUUUGGUUCCUCCUAUGGGAAAACCAACUGGACCUAAGCCGCAAUGUUUACCCAAGAAGCUACCACUCGUGAUUUUACAUAA